rnacentral:tRNA from 1 species
GUUGAUUUGGCAGAAUAGUGCUUUAAAUUUAGAAUUUAAUUAUAGAUUAGACAUCUAGUCAAUA